AAUAAUGUGAAACUGCUACGUUUUGGUUGCUAUGAACAAUAUUUUGAGUUAGUUUCUGCAUAAAAAUACGGUUUGAUUACAUUUUUAGCGAGAAAUAUAUAUUCUAUUUUCAUAAUAUUCACUCAGUGAAUGUCAACCCGUUCUCACGCUGAAGAAGUCUCCUUCAGAACACAUCGCGAUAUUUGGCAUCAGUUCGCGUGUGCUGGAUGUUGGUAAGUAGUCGUAAAUACGCUGUUCUAAUGUUUGAUAUAAUGUCUUUUCUGUUUGCAGAUAUUAAUCAGAUUAACGUUAGCUCCCUCAUGUUCAGUCACUGCAUUAUAUCUGUCACCUCCGCUAAGGUUUUGCUUUUCAUUGUUUUCUAUAUUAAAUAGUACUAAACUAGGGUGAUUAAACACUGUCACGUGACGUGCAAUAUAUUGCACAAUAUAUAUAACAUAUUCAUAUCAGGUUCAAAGUAGUACAAGUGUAGUUUCAAAAUGGUAUUUGUUGUAGAAGCACGGUAAAAAAACAACACUUACCAUGCUUUUUACCACAGUAUUGGUAGUUUUAAUUUGAUUUUUGUUGUAAAUACAGAGUAACCACAACACUUAUCAUGCUUUGGAUGAAGGAGACAGAAAGCUGCAAAGGCAAAUAAUUGCAAUGAAGGAAAUCCUACAGUUAUGUAUGAACUCACAACAUCAUCAUCAAGUGCUGUGCUGGGCACAUUGGGUAACAAGUGUCCUCCAACGUAUCCAAUUUGUGACCACAUUCUCCACAUCUUCCCAUGGGACACCGACAUUCUUCAGGCCUUCGUUUCCAUGUCUUCCCCUGCAUUCUCCUGGUGGUGUCCACUUCAUAUCUGUCUUUGGGUGUUGUUGUUUGGUCAUGCUUAGGGUGUGUCCGGGGAGGUGCACCCUUCACUCUGUCACAGUUUUUAAAAGUCUUCACGUGGACUCCUCCUUAUGAUCUCCUUGAAACGUGCAGAACCAAUAUUGAAAAUAGUAAUUUAUCUUUUUCCAUAUUCUUGCCUUUAUCAAAGAAGCACCAGUGCUCAUCCGGAGUUUUGGUAAAAGUUCUAGUAAUGCUGCGACUAUAGUCAAAUAUGUAUUUCUGCAUGUGUGUAUAGCAGGUGUUUGUCCGAACAAUUGAAGUUAGUGAGAGUGUUCAGGAAAACCCUCUGAGAACAAUCAAUAUUUAUUUAAUUCUGUUUGGUGCUGAUAUAGAGUAUUACAGAAAUGACACAUUGACAUUCUGGACAUUAUUCUGUGAGUUUGUUACCUCUUCAUUUAGAUGGACUUGAAAAUGUCUUGCAUUUUGUUUCAUUAAACCUUUUAUUACAGUGUCACUAUAGUAAAUGUCCACCUUAACUACAUCUAUGGUAUCAUUAUAUCAGUACCUGGAUAAUGUAAAUGUAACAUACCCAUGAAUGUAUUUUAUAGAAGCAUUUUAUUGCUGAAAAUAUUUAACAUUUAUAAAAUGCAUUAACUAUU